CGUGACUUCAAUGCGAUUUCCUUUGAAGCGCACAACAGGUGCUCGUAAGUGCGACGAAAACCUACGUGUCUGCUAAAGGGAAGAAAGCGAGAAAACGGUGUACUCCAGCCGCCACCACGGGAAACAGCGCGGUCAUGCAACAGUAAUCAAAGUACACUAUCAAAACAUUUUCAGCUUCAGUGCUCCUCCAGUAUCCGUAAGUGCAAUGAAGUUAUCUGUUCGUAUGUUCCAGUGGCUGGGGAAAGAGGACACGAAGCUAAACAGUUUUUUUUUUGUGCAAACUGUCCUUAAAUAUCAGCUCGGGUGUCCCCUUCUCCUUGCGGGUCUCUGCGUGUAACUCCAGUUCAGCGCGCGCGUUCUCAUUUUGCAAGGGAUUGAAGAGCUCCACUCGCUGAAAAGACUUGGAGUGUGGCAGACAGCAAACGAGAGCGAGUGGGUGGUGAACAGCAGACACUACAUACUCCUGUGUGGUCUGGAGAUGCCCAUAAGAGACGGGUCAGGAGUGAGCUCCCAUCUUGUCUCCAAUUGAUUGGGCCCCCUUGAUAAGUCCAAGACGGAGACUAAAUCAACAAAUCAGAAGGAUUGGUUCCAACUCAGGGACUGAGGGCUGCCCGUCACGGUUAGCCGGUCAUCCAGAGAGGACACAGCCACCUUAAACAGGGA